UUCGCAAUGCCCGAAAGGGUGAACGAGCGACGCCGCGUGCGGGAUGAAGGCCUUCGGGUCGUAAACCGCUUUUGUAAGGGAAAAACUUAAUGAUGGUACCUUACGAAUAAGAGGUUACUAACUCUGUGCCAGCAGUAGCGGUAAUACAGAGACCUCAAGCGUUAUUCGGAAUCACUGGGCUUAAAGCGCGUGUAGGCGGAUGGGAACGUCGGUCUUUGAAAGCCCCCGGCUCAACCGGGGAAGCGGAGCCGAAACGACCGAUCUGGAGGGACGUAGGGGGACCUGGAACUUCCGGUGGAGCGGUGAAAUGCGUUGAGAUCGGAAGGAACGCCCGUGGCGAAAGCGAGGUCCUGGACGUCUGCUGACGCUGAGACGCGAAAGCUAGGGGAGCAAACGGGAUUAGAUACCCCGGUAGUCCUAGCCGUAAACGAUGGGCACUAAGUAGAGGGGUUUU
rnacentral:rRNA from 1 species